CUUGCUACUUGGAUAACCGUAGUAAUUCUAGAGCUAAUACAUGCGUCAAACCCCGACUUCUGGGAGGGGUGUAUUUAUUAGAUGGAAACCAAUGCGGGGCAACCCGGUAUAUGGUGAUUCAUAAUAACUUUCGGAUCGAUCUUCGGAUCGAUGCAUCAUUCAAGUUUCUGCCCUAUCAGCUUUGGAUGGUAGGGUAUUGGCCUACCAUGGCUUUAACGGGUAACGGAGAAUAAGGGUUCGACUCCGGAGAGGGAGCCUGAGAAACGGCUACCACAUCCAAGGAAGGCAGCAGGCGCGCAAAUUACCCACUUCCAGAACGGAGAGGUAGUGACGAAAAAUAACGAGACAGUCCUCUUCGAGGUCUGUCAUCGGAAUGGGUACAAUUUAAAUCCUUUAACGAGGAUCUAUUGGAGGGCAAGUCUGGUGCCAGCAGCCGCGGUAAUUCCAGCUCCAAUAGCGUAUAUUAAAGUUGUUGCGGUUAAAACGCUCGUAGUUGGAUCUGCGACCUCGAAGAACGGUCCCCCGAAAGGGUGGUCACUGUCUCUUCUAGUCUAAAUUCAAGUUGUCUUUAGGUGCUCUUUAUUGAGUGCUUAGAGCGACUAGAACGUUUACUUUGAAAAAAUUAGAGUGCUUAAAGCAGACGAAAUAGUCUGAAUAAGGUGCAUGGAAUAAUGGAAUAGGAUCUCGGUUCUAUUUUGUUGGUUUUCGGAG
rnacentral:rRNA from 1 species